AUUGAACGCUGGCGGCAUGAUUUACACAUGCAAGUCGAACGGUAACAGGCCGCAAGGUGCUGACGAGUGGCGAACGGGUGCGUAAUGCAUCGGAACGUGCCCAGUCGUGGGGGAUAACUACUCGAAAGAGUAGCUAAUACCGCAUACGAUCUAUGGAUGAAAGCGGGGGACCGUAAGGCCUCGCGCGAUUGGAACGGCCGAUGUCAGAUUAGGUAGUUGGUGGGGUAAAGGCUCACCAAGCCAACGAUCUGUAGCUGGUCUGAGAGGACGACCAGCCACACUGGGACUGAGACACGGCCCAGACUCCUACGGGAGGCAGCAGUGGGGAAUUUUGGACAAUGGGCGCAAGCCUGAUCCAGCAAUGCCGCGUGCAGGAAGAAGGCCUUCGGGUUGUAAACUGCUUUUGUACGGAACGAAACGGCUCUGGUUAAUACCCGGGGCUAAUGACGGUACCGUAAGAAUAAGCACCGGCUAACUACGUG
rnacentral:rRNA from 1 species